CCCGGGUGCCGUAGGGGUGCGAGCGUUGUCCGGAUUACUGGGCGUAAAGAGCUCGUAGGCGGUUUGUCGCGUCGUCUGUGAAAUUCUGCAGCUUAACUGCAGGCGUGCAGGCGAUACGGGCAGACUUGAGUACUACAGGGGAGACUGGAAUUCCUGGUGUAGCGGUGAAAUGCGCAGAUAUCAGGAGGAACACCGGUGGCGAAGGCGGGUCUCUGGGUAGUAACUGACGCUGAGGAGCGAAAGCGUGGGGAGCGAACAGGAUUAGAUACCCUGGUAGUCCACGCCGUAAACGGUGGGUACUAGGUGUGGGGUCCAUUUCACGGAUUCCGUGCCGUAGCUAACGCAUUAAGUACCCCGCCUGGGGAGUACGGCCGCAAGGCUAAAACUCAAAGGAAUUGACGGGGGCCCGCACAAGCGGCGGAGCAUGUGGAUUAAUUCGAUGCAACGCGAAGAACCUUACCUGGGUUUGACAUACACCAGACGCAUUCAGAGAUGGAUGUUCCCUUGUGGUUGGUGUACAGGUGGUGCAUGGCUGUCGUCAGCUCGUGUCGUGAGAUGUUGGGUUAAGUCCCGCAACGAGCGCAACCCUUGUCCUGUAUUGCCAGCGGGUUAUGCCGGGGACUUGCAGGAGACUGCCGGGGUCAACUCGGAGGAAGGUGGGGAUGACGUCAAGUCAUCAUGCCCCUUAUGUCCAGGGCUUCACACAUGCUACAAUGGCGCGUACAGAGGGCUGCGAGACCGUGAGGUGGAGCGAAUCCCUUAAAGCGCGUCUCAGUUCGGAUUGGGGUCUGCAACUCGACCCCAUGAAGUCGGAGUCGCUAGUAAUCGCAGAUCAGCAAUGCUGCGGUGAAUACGUUCCCGGGCCUUGUACACACCGCCCGUCACGUCAUGAAAGUCGGUAACACCCGAAGCCGGUGGCCUAACCCUUGUGAGGAGCCGUCGAAGUGGGAUCGGCGAUGGGACGAGUCGUAACAAGGUAACCAAGGCGACACGCGAUCGAUAUCGCGGCGCUGCAGUCAUACUGACGAUGGUCAUAGCUGUUCUGUCAUAGCAAAAGUCAAAGCCUCGACCGGAGGCC
rnacentral:rRNA from 1 species